CUCGGUAAUUUCAUUAGUUGGAUAUCCAAUUGUAUCAUUAUCUCUUGUACAUGGAGAGCUCUUGCCAUUUUCAGUGUCAAGAGAAGUUGGGGCUUCAUUUCUACCAAUUUGGGCAUUGCAAGAAAUCAAGGUCUCAAUCUCCUUCAAAGAGCUGUUUUGCUGAGAUGUAUCUUGACUGGCACUAAAACCACCAUUAACAACACUUGUUUCUGCAACACUGUCUUGGGUAUGAUCAGCAGACGACUCAUUGUCAUAUUCACUAACGGCAGAGGCAUCA
rnacentral:misc_RNA from 1 species